GACGAACGCUGGCGGCGUGCUUAACACAUGCAAGUCGAACGGAAAGGCCUGCUUUCCCUUGUGGAUUGCGGGUACUCGAGUGGCGAACGGGUGAGUAACACGUGAGUGAUCUGCCCCCAACUUGGGUAUAAGCCUGGGAAACUGGGUCUAAUUCCCGAUAGGACUGCAGGGUGGUGCCUGUGGUGGAAAACGAUUUUCUAGUGGUUGGGGAUGAGCUCGCGGCCUAUCAGCUUGUUGGUGGGGUAAUGGCCUACCAAGGCGGCGACGGGUAGCCGGCCUGGGAGGGUGGACCGCCGCAUUGGGACUGAGAUACGGCCCAGACUCCUACGGGCGGCCGCCGUGGGGAAUAUUGCACAAUGGGCGGAAGCCUGAUGCAGCGACGCCGCGUGGGGGAUGACGGCCUUCGGGUUGUAACCUCCUUUCGACCGCGAGGAAGCCACCUGGUUGGAAGGGUGGUGACGGUAGUGGUAGAAGAAGCACCGGCUAACCACGUG
rnacentral:rRNA from 1 species